GAUGAACGCUGGCGGCGUGCCUAAUACAUGCCAGUCGAGCGAACAGACGAGGAGCUUGCUCCUCUGACGUUAGCGGCGGACGGGUGAGUAACACGUGGAUAACCUACCUAUAAGACUGGGAUAACUUCGGGAAACCGGAGCUAAUACCGGAUAAUAUAUUGAACCGCAUGGUUCAAUAGUGAAAGACGGUUUUGCUGUCACUUAUAGAUGGAUCCGCGCCGCAUUAGCUAGUUGGUAAGGUAACGGCUUACCAAGGCAACGAUGCGUAGCCGACCUGAGAGGGUGAUCGGCCACACUGGAACUGAGACACGGUCCAGACUCCUACGGGAGGCAGCAGUAGGGAAUCUUCCGCAAUGGGCGAAAGCUUGACGGAGCAACGCCGCGUGAGUGAUGAAGGUCCUCGGAUCGUAAAACUCUGUUAUUAGGGAAGAACAAAUGUGUAAGUAACUAUGCACGUCUUGACGGUACCUAAUCAGAAAGCCACGGCUAACUACGUG
rnacentral:rRNA from 1 species